UGUGACGAUAAGUUUAACGGCCGCGGUAUUUUGACCGUGCGAAGGUAGCGCAAUCACUUGUCUCUUAAAUGGGGACCUGUAUGAAUGGCACCACGAGGGCUUGACUGUCUCUACUUUCCGGUCAAUGAAAUUGAUCCCCCCGUGCAGAAGCGGGGAUUACAGCAUAAGACGAGAAGACCCUAUGGAGCUUUAGACACUAAAGCAGAUCACGUCAAACACCCCUAAUUAAAGGAAUAAACCAAAUGAACCCUGCCCUACUGUCUUUGGUUGGGGCGACCGCGGGGAAAUACAAAACCCCCACGUGGAAUGAGACCACCUGUCUUAAAACCAAGAGCUCCCGCUCUACUAAACAGAACUUCUGACCAAUAAGAUCCGGCUCUGCCGAUCAACGGACCGAGUUACCCUAGGGAUAACAGCGCAAUCCCCUUCUAGAGCCCAUAUCGACAAGGGGGUUUACGACCUCGAUGUUGGAUCAGGACAUCCUAAUGGUGCAGCCGCUAUUAAGGGUUCGUUUGU
rnacentral:rRNA from 1 species